CUUUAUUAAAAAUAUAGCAUGUUUGUAUGUAUGACUUAUUAGUCAAUACAUCCAUUUAUAUUUAUUUUAUUGAUAAAUAGUCAGAUUCAUAUACUUACAUUUAUUUGUCAUUUCUAUCUAUAGAGAGGAAGGAUCUAAAGAAAAUGCAUUGCUAACACAUUUAGAAAGCCCAAGAUUUCUCUGAAAGCUGAAAAGCUUUCAAGGUCACUUCAACUUGCCAUUGCUGAAGUGGAUGUUGAUUAUUUCAAAUACCUGAAACACAUGAGUUAAGUUUCCUCUAUUGCUGACUCCAAAUUUGAGCUCUUUCUUGUGUUGUGACUAUGAUUAUAUGCUGAUAAUGUGAACUAAGCCAAGGCAAUAAGUGUUUAACUGGUGCAUCUUCUUACUGAAACCCCUUACCAAGUCCCAGAAUAAUAAGUUUUCUUGAUAUGAAGUGCCAAAAUUAAUGAACCUUUCACUUCUGGAUCCAUUGAUCUAUAAGAUUUAGGGAAGGAUCAAAUUAUAGCAAUAUUUAUAAACCUAUCUCUUCUAUUUGUGAACUAAUGUGAUCCAGAGAUAUUAUUUGUUCAAGAUAGUCAUGCACACACACACACACACACACACACAACUAGUGAGAGUAGUUAAGAUUAAAAUGUAAUGGCCUCUCUCUCUUAAUCCCAUAAUUGUUCUCUUUGCAUUCCCAAGUUACCAUAAAAGUAUGUCUCAGUGCCUAUAAAUGUGAAUGUCUAUUGGCAUUGCUUAGUGUCUACAUGAUGGUACAUUCUGUGAAAGAACUUCAACCUUUGAAGGUAUGCAAUAAAUAAAGGGUAAAACUUGCUAACAUUUCUCUCUGGUUUAAAUAUUUUAGGAGUUGAAGUUUAGUAGAUUAAAAUGGGCUCUCAUUUAAGUGAAAUGCAACCAUCAAAAGGUACCUGAUUCUCAACCACUCCUUUAUUAAAUCCUAUAGAUUACAAUUCUUCAUAAGGAUAUUUCAUGUAAAAUAUGUAUUGAUUUUGCCUGUGGCUGGAUAUAAAAACAAAUAAUUAUGCCCAGUGAUAUAUUAUUAUAUUAUGGAUAUAAGAACAGAACAGACCAUUUAAAAUGUUUGAUUUCAAAAU
rnacentral:lncRNA from 1 species